AGCGAACGCUGGCGGCAGGCUUAACACAUGCAAGUCGAGCGGGCACUUUCGGGUGUCCGCGGCGGACGGGUGAGUAACGCGUGGGAACGUGCCCUCUGGUUCGGAAUAACUCAGGGAAACUUGAGCUAAUACCGGAUACGCCCUUUUGGGGAAAGGCUUCCUGCCGGAGGAUGGGCCCGCGUCUGAUUAGCUAGUUGGUGAGGUAACGUCUCACCAAGGCGACGAUCAGUAGCUGGUCUGAGAGACUGAUCCGCCACACUGGGACUGAGACACGGCCCAGUCUCCCGCCGGAGGCAGAAGUGAGCAAUAAUGGACGGUGGGCGCAAGCCUGAUGCAGCCAUGCCGCGUGAGUCAUGAAGGCCUUAGGGUUGUAAUGCUCUUUUAUCCGAGACAAUAAUGACGGUACCGGAGGAAUAAGCCCCGGCUGACUUCGUG
rnacentral:rRNA from 1 species